UUCCUGACUCUGCAGAACCAGAGCCCUCCCAGAGUUCCCGUGCCCAGGGUGGAAAUGCAGCCGCGUGGUCUGGACAGGCUGGGAGUUCAGCACUGAGAAACCACAAAAUCACACUGCAAAAAACCAUGAUCUGUGAGUACAGAGAGACUUUUACAACACUCCUUCACACGCUGGUUUAUCCUCUGCACUCAGAAAAGCCAGCUCAAAGUGCAGCUUAGGCACAAGAAAGGGCUCAAGCAAACAGCUCCACUGAGCCCAAAUUAAGGGCCUUCCUCUGCAUCUGCAUGUGUGCAUUGACACAAAAUGGUAGGAACAGGCAGUUUCCAAAUAUGUUUUCAUCUCCAGUUAGUGGCUGAGAAGUGAUCCCUGUAGGAACAGGCUAAAUAAAUAUAAAUGUAUAUAUAAUACCUGUCUGAAAUCCGUAAAAUGGUGGACAAUAGGGAUCUUUUCACAUUACAGGCUUAAAAGCAAGAUAAUCCCUUCUCUUUUAUAAGCAGUGUGAAUACUUUCCCAGCAAACAUUCUGAAGGUUUAAAUGAAUUCAAUGGUAUUUGUUCCAAGCCUUUAAGAAGAGGUAAGAAACCUGAAACAAGGGUUGUGUGGAGAUAAGGAGCCUUAGGCCCUUGUAAUCCUCAGCUUGCUUUUGUAUCCCGAGAAAAUGCAGGGCUUUGUUGCAGACAGUUGGCUGCUCCUUGGACAUCACUAAUCCCUUGGGCAGCAGUCUCUGCGUUUGCCAGCAAGGAAAACCCUCGUCAUGAACGAGUUUUGUCAUCUCCCAGUGUAAUGAAGAGAUUCCUGCAACACAGUCAAUUGAUUUCUUUCUAAACUUUCCUCUUUGAUGCCCACAUGGAACUUAAAAUGCCUUUUUUUUUUAUGCUGUAAUGACUCUCUGCAGAAGUUUCUGGCUCCUUAGGAAGGCACAAAGCUGUGCACACACAGGAUCAGCCCAGAUAACAGGUUUCUGGCAGUGGGGUCACAGGAACACACUGUGGAUUUCUAUGAUCUCACCCAAGGCACAACCCUGAACCGAAUCGGGUACUGCAAGGACAUUGCCAGCUUUGUCAUCCAGAUGGACUUCUCUGCAGACAGCAGGUACAUCCAGGUCUCCACGGGCGCCUACAAGCGCCAGGUUCACGAGGUGCCCCUGGGGAAGCAAAUCACAGACCCUGCAGCCAUAGAGAAGAUCACCUGGGCCACGUGGACCAGCCCUGGAUUGAACAGCACAGGAUUGGACCAAAGCAGCUCCAUCGAACACCCGGCGGGAGGGAGAGCAGGGACUGAACCUCGGGCACAGCCCAGGGACACGGGAGAGAGCGGGGAUAAAGGCAGGGUGGGAGAGGGUGAAAUAAAGACAUUUUGGGGUGUG